rnacentral:lncRNA from 1 species
GGGGCGUAGCUAGGUAUUCAGUCAACUGUAGGCACCAAUCGGCAGGGGGUCUGGGGGCCACUUAAGGCCCCCAGCAGGUCCAGGACAGAGCCCUAGUAGGGGGUUCAUGGGGGCGAAGCCCCCGACGGAAAAAGAUUUUCAGUGUUUUAGCAAAUAUUAAAUUUACUGGUUAUUUAAUCAUGAUAACUACAAUAUACAUGAUGAAAAGUUCGAGGAAUUAUGAAUAAUGUACCUUAACAUCUGACUGGUGAAUUAAAUAACGCAGUACAAUCCGUAAUUAUCAUUAAAAAAAUAUUUACAAUAUGCAUUGUAUAUAUCUAUUCCGUUCUGAUAUAUAUAUAAUACGUUUAACUUAAUUAAUAGUACAUACUGACUAUCCUUCAAUAAAAAAAUAGGCAUACUACUAAUAUAACAUAGAACUAUCCUUUUGGCUAGACAUCAACCAUCAAUCUUUUGAAUCUUAAACCUUUACCCUAGCCACACAAACACAUACAGACAUAGUCGAUGCCUAACAAAAUUAAAAAAAAAUCGUAUUUCUUUAUAUCCUCUACUGUAAAAUCCCUACCUGCUUAGUAAUUUUGAAUAAUUGUGGCCAUUACAAGCAGAUUUGAGAGUAUCAAAAUUACUGGAAGCCAGUUGAUUGAUUGUUUUUUUUACAUCCAGUGUCAAAUAUUUAUGCAAGUUCAGGACCGUUGAAUUUUUUUUUUUACAAUAAAUACAACUUAGAACUAGGUCCUGUAAUAGGUGUCGUCCAGGACGAAGGUUUUGAAAUUUAAAAAUGCCAUGCAUUGGAAAAUGAGAGAUUAUUGGAUAGGAGCAAAAAUUUGGCCUUUCAGUAGACCAACUACGAACUCCUCAAAGAGUUGCAUUCUCUCUACAACUAGGCAUCGGAUUUAAUGUCCCCAUUCUGACCAGACGUGACUGCGUAUUUAUACAUCCUGGACAGCCAAACGGACGACCAACAUUGGCAAGUCGGGUGAAGACAAGUGGUAAGCUAGUUGAAAACUAACAACAAC